rnacentral:rRNA from 1 species
ACACGUAAGGAGCUGAUUGUAGCGAAAGAGGAAAGGGACGGCUAACUCUGUGCCAGCAGCCGCGGUAAUACAGAGGUCCCAAGCGUUGUUCGGAUUCACUGGGCGUAAAGGGUGCGUAGGUGGUGGUGUAAGUUUGGUGUGAAAUCUCCGAGCUCAACUCGGAAACUGCACUAAAUACUACAUUGCUAGAGGGUCGGAAGGGAGACUGGAAUUCUCGGUGUAGCAGUGAAAUGCGUAGAUAUCGAGAGGAACACCAGUGGCGAAAGCGAGUCUCUGGACGACUCCUGACACUGAGGCACGAAAGCUAGGGGAGCAAACAGGAUUAGAUACCCUGGUAGUCCUAGCCGUAAACGGUGCACAUUUGCCGUGAGGGGAUUCGAACCCCUUCGUGGCGAAGCUAACGCGUUAAAUGUGCCGCCUGGGAAGUACGGUCGCAAGAUUAAAACUCAAAGAAAUUGACGGGGGCCCGCACAAGCGGUGGAGUAUGUGGCUUAAUUCGAUGCAACGCGAAGAACCUUACCUGGCCUUGACAUGUAGGUAGUAAAAGGAUGAAAGUCUGAUGAUCCCGCAAGGGAAGCUUACACAGGUGCUGCAUGGCUGUCGUCAGCUCGUGUCGUGAGAUGUUGGGUUAAGUCCCGCAACGAGCGCAACCCUUAUGUCCUGUUGCCACCCGGGCGAGAGCCCGGAGCACUCUGGACAGACUGCCUCAUUUUAAUGAGGAGGAAGGUGGGGAUGACGUCAAGUCAGGAUGGCCCUUACGGCCAGGGCUGCACACGUACUACAAUGCCCGGUACAGAAGGAUGCAAUACCGCAAGGUGGAGCAAAUCCCUUAAAACCGGGCUCAGUUCAGAUCGUCGGCUGCAAUUCGCCGGCGUGAAGCUGGAAUCGCUAGUAAUGGCGCAUCAGAUACGGCGCCGUGAAUACGUUCCCGGGCCUUGUACACACCGCCCGUCACAUCAUGAAAGCCAUUUGUACCCGAAGUCAGCAAGUCAACCGCAAGGAGACAGUUGCCGAAGGUAGGACGGU